rnacentral:lncRNA from 1 species
GCCAAUCCAGCAGAGUUGAUCGCAUAGGAGCAUCGCUUCAAUGCUAGUGGUCUUUGCUUCUUCCAGCAUGCUGACAUUUGUCCACUUUUCUUCCCAAGAGAUUUGCAGGAUUUUUCGGAGACAACGCUGAUGGAAUCGUUCCAGGAGUUGAGUGUGGCAUCUGUAGACAGUCCAUGUUUUGCAGGCAUAUAACAGGAUUGGGAGGACAAUAGCUUUAUAAACAAACACCUUGGUAUCACUAUGGUUGUCCUAAUCCUCAAACACGCUCUACUAUAGUCGGAAAAAUGCUGCACUCGCAGAGUUCAGCUACAGAGGCAGAAGAAGAAGACAUUGAAAGAUUCUAUGCUGGAGUCCAGAAGAAAAUUAACCAAACACCAAAGACAAUUGGACAAUAAAUGUAGGAAAUAGAGCAGAAUCAAUGUAAGAACAUUUGGCCUAGGAUAAAGAAAUGAAGCAGGAGAAAGGUAGGCUGAAUUUGGCAAGGCCAAGAGUUUGUUAAUUGCAGACACAUUAUUAUUAAAUCUCCAUAAAGGUGACUGUGUACAUGGACUUCAUCUGAUAGCCAAUAUAGGAAUCCAAUAGACUGUAGCUCUGCAUGUAUUCAAAUGUAAUCUCAAUGAGUUCGGCAUGCUUUAUUACCCAGAAAUUUACUCAGAUGUCAGCCCAAAUUAGGGGUUAGCAGGUUAAUGCCACCCAGCUUCUAAGAUUUCAGGGCCAAAUUAUGAGAACAGGGAGCAAUGCCUUAUGAUGUCAUGGGGUGAGUUCUUGUCACAUAGCAGACUGAGUGGAACUAUUUCUCCAUCAUUUGAUCCCAAUCAUCUUUGCAAUAAUCCCUCUGGAUAAGAGUGACUGACCCCCUGUGGUCUCCUACGAGAUCACAUUUGUGUUAUAAAGCAGAGGCAUUAAUUUACCUAUUGCCCAGUUUGCUCCUGUGGAAUUCUGGGAAAUAUAGGUUAGGGAAGCCGAGAACCUCUCUAGCUGAGAAUUACAAAGGACCUGUCCUAAACUACAUUUCCCAGAAUUCUGCAGGAGCAAACUAAUGUGAUGUUGUUAAUUGUAUAUACUGUACUAAUUGGCAGAAAUUGUGGAAACAGCAUGAGACAAUUCAAGUAAUUGGAUGCCAG